AUUGAACGCUGGCGGCAGGCCUAACACAUGCAAGUCGAACGAGUGGCGGACGGGUGAGUAAUGUCUGUGACACUGCCUGCUGGAGGGGGAUAACUACUGGAAACGGUAGCUAAUACCGCAUACCAUCAGAUGUGCCCAGAUGGGAUUAGGUUGUUGGUGGGGUAACGGCCCACCAAGGCGACGAUCCCUAUCUGGUCUGAGAGGAUGAACAGCCACACUGUAACUGAGACACGGUCCAGACUCCGACGGGAGGCAGCAGUGGGGAAGAUUGGACAAUGGGCGCAAGCCUGAUGCAGCCAUGCCGCGUGUAUGAAGAAGGCCUUCGGGUUGUAAAGUACUUUCAGCGGGGAGGCGUUACCCGCAGAAGAAGCACCGGCUAACUCCGUGCCAGCAGCCGCGGUAAUUC
rnacentral:rRNA from 1 species